ACUCCUGCGGGAGGCAGCAGUGGGGAAUUUUGGACAAUGGGCGAAAGCCUGAUCCAGCAAUGCCGCGUGAGUGAAGAAGGCCUUCGGGUUGUAAAGCUCUUUUGUCAGGGAAGAAACGGUGAGAGCUAAUAUCUCUUGCUAAUGACGGUACCUGAAGAAUAAGCACCGGCUAACUACGUGCCAGCAGCCGCGGUAAUACGUAGGGUGCAAGCGUUAAUCGGAAUUACUGGGCGUAAAGCGUGCGCAGGCGGUUUUGUAAGUCUGAUGUGAAAUCCCCGGGCUCAACCUGGGAAUUGCAUUGGAGACUGCAAGGCUAGAAUCUGGCAGAGGGGGGUAGAAUUCCACGUGUAGCAGUGAAAUGCGUAGAUAUGUGGAGGAACACCGAUGGCGAAGGCAGCCCCCUGGGUCAAGAUUGACGCUCAUGCACGAAAGCGUGGGGAGCAAACAGGAUUAGAAACCCAGUAGUCCCA
rnacentral:rRNA from 1 species